rnacentral:rRNA from 1 species
UACGUAGGGGGCUAGCGUUGUCCGGAAUCAUUGGGCGUAAAGAGCGCGUAGGCGGCCAGAUAAGUCCGGUGUGAAAGUCAGAGGCUCAACCUUUGAAUGCCGCUGGAAACUGUCUGGCUAGAGUCCGGAAGGGGCGAGUGGAAUUCCUGGUGUAGCGGUGAAAUGCGCAGAAUAUCAGGAGGAACACCAAUGGCGAAGGCAGCUCGCUGGAACGGUACUGACGCUGAGGCGCGAAAAGCGUGGGGAGCGAACGG